rnacentral:rRNA from 1 species
CCUACGGGAGGCAGCAGUGGGGAAUAUUGGGCAAUGGGCGCAAGCCUGACCCAGCAAAGCCGCGUGAAGGAAGAAGGCUUUCGGGUUGUAAACUUCUUUUAAGAGGGAAGAGCAGAAGACGGUACCUCUUGAAUAAGCCACGGCUAACUACGUGCCAGCAGCCGCGGUAAUACGGAGGUGGCAAGCGUUGUCCGGAUUUACUGGGUGUAAAGGGCGUGUAGCCGGGCUGACAAGUCAGAUGUGAAAUUCCGGGGCGCAACCCCGGACGUGCAGUUGAAACUGUUGGUCUUGAGUGUCGGAGAGGCAGGCGGAAUUCGUGGUGUAGCGGUGAAAUGCGUAGAUAUUAGGAAGAACACCGGUGGCGAAGGCGGCCUGCUGGACGACAACUGACGGUGAGGCGCGAAAGCGUGGGGAGCGAACAGGAUUAGAUACCCUGGUAGUC